rnacentral:rRNA from 1 species
ACGUAGGGGGCAAGCGUUGUCCGGAAUGAUUGGGCGUAAAGGGCGCGUAGGCGGCACGGCAAGUCCGGAGUGAAAGUCCAGCUUUUAAGGUUGGAAUUGCUUUGGAAACUGCCGAGCUUGAGUGCAGGAGAGGUAAGCGGAAUUCCCGGUGUAGCGGUGAAAUGCGUAGAGAUCGGGAGGAACACCAGUGGCGAAGGCGGCUUACUGGACUGUAACUGACGCUGAGGCGCGAAAGUGUGGGGAGCAAACAG